rnacentral:sRNA from 1 species
GCAGCCGGAGUAAGAUGGCGGCGCUGAGGGCUUUGGGCGGCCUCCGGGGCGUCGCGGCCCAGGUGCUGCGGCCUGGGGCUGGAGUCCGAUUGCCGAUUCAGCCCAGCAGAGGUGUUCGGCAGUGGCAGCCAGAUGUGGAAUGGGCACAGCAGUUUGGGGGAGCUGUUAUGUACCCAAGCAAAGAAACAGCCCACUGGAAGCCUCCACCUUGGAAUGGUGAGUGACCAGAGUUGCUGUCCCAACCCACACCCAUCCCUGCCCGCAGCUGAUUUCCUUUUCUUUUUUUGAGACAGGGUUUCCCUCUGUCUCCCUAGCUGGAGUGCAGUGGUGUGAAAGUGGCUCACUGUAGCCUUGAACUUCUGGGCUCAAGGCAACCUUCUGUCUCAGCCUCCCCAGAAAGCCGCAACAACAGGCCUGUGCCACCACAACUGGCUAAUUUUGAAAGUUUUCCUUUUGUAGAGACAGAGUCUUGCUAUGUUGACCAGGCUGUUUUCAAACUCCUGGCC